CGUGUGCUCUGGGUGAAAGUCCCCGGGCGAUGGGUAGAGAGUACCAGGUCGGUAAAGACCAGACGCCUUUGAUUGUACUUUCCAGUUCGCGGAGAUGAGAUAUUCGGAGUUGAUUCAAGGGCUCUUGUUUGUGGUUCUGCGGAUCCGGCAGCCAAUCCCUCGAAUCUCGAUGAGUAGAUCGGAGCGCCCGUGGAAGUCUUUCAAGGCUGAUUGCCUAAGAGCUUGAGCGAGAAAGUUAUGGAAUGAGAGAUUGGUGUCGACCGUCGUGACGGCCCCAAUACUCUAACAGAAUGGGGCUUAUUCC
rnacentral:RNase_MRP_RNA from 1 species